rnacentral:rRNA from 1 species
CCAGACUCCUACGGGAGGCAGCAGUGAGGAAUAUUGGUCAAUGGGCUUACGCCUGAACCAGCCAAGUCGCGUGAGGGAAGACUGCCCUAUGGGUUGUAAACCUCUUUUGUCAGGGAGCAAUUGGCGCUACGUGUAGCGUUAUCGAGAGUACCUGAAGAAAAAGCAUCGGCUAACUCCGUGCCAGCAGCCGCGGUAAUACGGAGGAUGCGAGCGUUAUCCGGAUUUAUUGGGUUUAAAGGGUGCGUAGGCGGAAUGCCAAGUCAGCGGAAAAAUCGCGGGGCUCAACCUCGCUCCGCCGUUGAAACUGGCGCUCUUGAGUGGAAGAGAAGUAUGCGGAAUGCGUGGUGUAGCGGUGAAAUGCAUAGAUAUCACGCAGAACCCCGAUUGCGAAGGCAGCAUGCCGGCUUCCGACUGACGCUGAAGCACGAAAGCGUGGGGAUCGAACAGGAUUAGAUACCCCCGUAAUU